rnacentral:rRNA from 1 species
CCUACGGGUGGCAGCAGUGAGGAAUAUUGGUCAAUGGCCGGAAGGCUGAACCAGCCAAGUCGCGUGAGGGACGACUGCCCUAUGGGUUGUAAACCUCUUUUAUAAGGGAAGAAUAAAUGCUACGUGUAGCAUGAUGCCUGUACCUUAUGAAUAAGCAUCGGCUAACUCCGUGCCAGCAGCCGCGGUAAUACGGAGGAUGCGAGCGUUAUCCGGAUUUAUUGGGUUUAAAGGGUGCGUAGGCGGUUUUUUAAGUUAGUGGUUAAACGUCGGGGCUUCACCUUGAUUUGCCAUUAAUACUGUAAGACUCGAGUUCAGACGAGGUAGGCGGAAUAAGUUAAGUAGCGGUGAAAUGCUUAGAUAUUACACAGAACGCCGAUUGCGAAGGCAGCUUGCUAGGCCGGAUCUGACACUGAUGCACGAAAGCGUGGGGAUCGAACAGGAUUAGAUACCCCUGUAGUC